GAUGAAGAACGCAGCGAAAUGCGAUAAGUAAUGUGAAUUGCAGAAUUCAGUGAAUCAUCGAAUCUUUGAACGCACAUUGCGCCCGCCAGUAUUCUGGCGGGCAUGCCUGUUCGAGCGUCAUUACAACCCUCAGGCCCCCGGGCCUGGCGUUGGGGAUCGGCGGAAGCCCCCUGCGGGCACAACGCCGUCCCCCAAAUACAGUGGCGGUCCCGCCGCAGCUUCCAUUGCGUAGUAGCUAACACCUCGCAACUGGAGAGCGGCGCGGCCACGCCGUAAAACACCCAACUUCUGAAUGUUGACCUCGAAUCAGGUAGGAAUACCCGCUGAACUUAAGCAUAUCAAGCGGAGGA
rnacentral:misc_RNA from 1 species